rnacentral:rRNA from 1 species
UACGGGGGGGGCAAGCGUUGUUCGGAAUUACUGGGCGUAAAGGGCUCGUAGGUGGCCGACUAAGUCGGACGUGAAAUCCCUCAGCUUAACUGGGGAACUGCGUCCGAUACUGGAUGGCUUGAGUUUGGGAGAGGGAUGCGGAAUUCCAGGUGUAGCGGUGAAAUGCGUAGAUAUCUGGAGGAACACCGGUGGCGAAGGCGGCAUCCUGGACCAACACUGACACUGAGGAGCGAAAGCCAGGGGAGCAAACGGG